AUUGAACGCUGGCGGCAGGCCUAACACAUGCAAGUCGAGCGGAUGAAGGGUUCUUGCUCCUGGAUUCAGCGGCGGACGGGUGAGUAAUGCCUAUGAAUCUGCCUGGUAGUUGGGGAUAACGUCCGGAAACGGGCGCUAAUACCGCAUACGUUCUUAUGGGGAAAGUGGUGGAUCGUCGGACCUCACGCUAUCAGAUGAACCUAGGUCGGAUUAGCUAGUUGGUGGGGUAAAGGCCUACCAAGGCGACGAUCCGUAACGGGUCUGAGAGGAUGACCAGUCACACUAGAACUGAGACAAGGUACAGACUCGUCCGGGAGGGAGCAGUGGGGAAUAUUGGACAAUGCGAGAAAGCCUGAUCCAGUCCUGCCGCGUGUGUGAAAAAGGUCUUCGGAUUGUAAAGCACAUCAAGUUGGGAAGAAGGGCAAUAAGUCAAUACCUUGCUGUUUUGAAGUUACCAACAGAAUAAGCACCGGCUAACUUCGUG
rnacentral:rRNA from 1 species